UGAGGAAUAUUGGUCAAUGGGCGAGAGCCUGAACCAGCCAAGUAGCGUGCAGGAUGACGGCCCUACGGGUUGUAAACUGCUUUUAUGAAGGAAUAAAGUCACCCACGUGUGGGUGUUUGCAUGUACUUUAUGAAUAAGGACCGGCUAAUUCCGUGCCAGCAGCCGCGGUAAUACGGAAGGUCCGGGCGUUAUCCGGAUUUAUUGGGUUUAAAGGGAGCGUAGGCCGUCUGGUAAGCGUGUUGUGAAAUGUCGUUGCUCAACAACGUCACUGCAGCGCGAACUGCCGGGCUUGAGUGUGCGGAAAGCGGGCGGAAUUUGUGGUGUAGCGGUGAAAUGCUUAGAUAUCACGAAGAACUCCGAUUGCGAAGGCAGCUCACGGGAGCGCAACUGACGCUGAAGCUCGAAAGUGCGGGUAUCGAACAGGAUUAGAUACCCUGGUAGU
rnacentral:rRNA from 1 species